rnacentral:misc_RNA from 1 species
AACGCACCUUGCGCUCCUUGGUAUUCCGAGGAGCAUGCCUGUUUGAGUGUCAUUAAAUUCUCAACCAUCCCAUUUUCUUUCGAACUUGGGCUGUGUUGGAUGUGGGGAUCUGCCGGCGCUUAUUACUUAAGACUUGGCUUUCCUUAAAUGUAUUAGCUAGAGCGCUUCUGUUGACUAGCCGCUAGUGUGAUAAUUAUCUACACUGUGACCAAGGUCAGCCUUUGAAAUGAAGGAACUCUGCUUCUAAUCGUCUCUUUGCAGACAAUCUAUGACAACUUGACCUCAAAUCAGGUAGGACUACCCGCUGAACUUAA